AGGAGGUGAUUAAGAAAGGGUUCAGAAACUAUUUUGCAUGGGCCUCUAAAUAAUUCAUCAUUUGAAUCUGUCCAAUGUGUUCAGCUUUCACAGACCAGCUUAGUAUCACUGCCAAAUUAAAGUUGGCAACUUAAAAGCUUAUUGAAUCUUUGGACCAAGUGUUUUCUUGUUGUUUAGAAUUUUUCAAAGACAGAAUAAUUAUUUAAGGUAGGAAAGUCUUGCCCAUGAAAAUAUGUUUUAACACUGUUUCUCUAAGAAUAGGGUUCUAUUUUAAUACCUCAUAUUUCUCUUGUAUCCUAGUGACUCCUUAAUACCCAUUUUCAUGGUGACUUCCCUCAUUUUACUUUGGCUCAUAGUAGAUGACCUUUAGCUCUAUAGGAGAGGGUAAUCUGACCCUCCAGGAAGCUAAUACUGAAAAUAUUAUUUCCAAUCAUUUUAUUCUUUGACGUUUACCUUCAAAGCCACUUAAUAAAAGCCAGCUGAAACAAAGGUUCUUACUUUCCCUUUCUCUAUUACUAGCUUACUUUUUCUUAAAAAAUGGUGUUUAUUCAUAAUGUUUAAAUAGAUAACUCAAUUUUAUAUUAAAAAAUGUGAUUUACCUUCCAAAAAUGCAAUAUGCUUGAAUUGCAAAUUAUGUACUGGAUGUAUGUUGCCUAUAAAACAUUGUGUUCAAGCGUCCUCAAGAGGGCUAUCUAUCUCAUUUUACUGCAGGUAGCACAAAGAAGCCAGAUGGGAUAUUCAACACUCAACUUGAAAAUCUCUAGCUCGAUCAUCCCAUUCAUUAGAUAACAGAUGAAAAUAAGUGCAACAUGCCAGAAAUCCAGUAAAGAAGUUCAAGUAUCAGAAGAGCAUGAAUCAAAACCAAGUGCAAGAAGAGGCACCUUGACAUUGAACUAAAGGCCACCAGGCUUCAGUAGCCAACAAAGACAACUACUAGAGGUGCUUACAGUUGCCUUGGCUGGCACACUAAUUCAAAAUACUGGUGCUUCCAAUCGCUGAACUGAACUGGGAACCAAUCAACAAGGGAAACCAGGAGAUGCAGUCCCUGAAGUUCAGCCUCAAGUAAGGCAGGGGAAGAGAAUAUGUAAAUUUGUGGAGAAGAGUGGUGAUGGUGGGAGCUACCAAUAAAAACUAUCAAAAAGGAUGAUGCACCACAAAAGCCAUCGCCAGAUACCAGCACCUUAAUGUUGGACUUCUCAGCCUCCAGAACUUCACCUAUUGGUGGUCAUUUGGGUCGUUUCCAGUUUGUGGCUGUUGUAAAUGAUGAUUUUAUAAACAUUUAUGUACAAAUCUUUAUGUGGAUAUCUAAAUAUAUGAUUUUAUUUCUCUUGGAUAAAUACCUAAGAUUAGAAUUGCUGAGUCAUAUGGUAAAUGGAUGCUUAACUUUAAAACCUCCCAAACUGUUCUUCAAAAGGGUUGUGCCAUUUUACAUCCCCACCAAUAAUGUAUAAAGGUUCCAGUUUCUCAAAAUAUUUGCCAACACUUGGUAUGGUCAGUCUUUUUGAUUAUAGUCAUUCUAGUGGGUAUAUAAUGAUAUCACAUUGUAAUUUUAACUUGCAUUCUCCUAAUGACUGAUGAUGUUGAGGAUGUCUUCAUUUGGUGUUUUUAUUAUUUUAUUUUUAGCCAUACGUAUAUCUUCUUUAGUGAAAUGCCUAUUGAAAUAUUUUGCCUAUUUUCUUGUUAUUUGUCACUUAUUAUUGAGCUUCAAAAGUUCUUUAUGUAUUCUGUUCAAUAGCCAGAUGACCUCAUCUUCUAGCAUUUACACCCUUGAGCAGUGCCUUCCUCAUUGCUCUAGGAUUGGUCUGACCAAAAGAACCAAACAACAUACGGCAGAAAUGAUGGUAUAUCACUUCCAAGGUUAGGUUAUAAGAGACUGUGUUUUCCAUCUCAGCUUCUUUCUCUCCCCUGCCAAACUCCUUUGCAUCAUUCAUUCCAGAGAAUCCAGCUGCCGUGUCAUGAGGACAAUCAGAUGGCUUAUAAAGGGCCCCUGGGAGAAGGAACUGAGGUAUUUUUCCAACAGCCAACAAGGAACCGAGGUCUGCCAACAACCAUGUGAGUGUGCACGGAAUUUUCUAGCUCCAGAUGACUGCGGCUUUGGCCAACAGCUUGUCUUGAGACACCCUGAGCCAGCACCACUCAGCUAAGCCACUUCCAGAUUCCUGCCCCUCAAAACUGUGUGACUUGUUGUUUUGAGAUGCUAAGUAUUACAGUAAUUCGGCAACAGAUAACAACUAUAUUCUGGAUACAAGUGUUUCUGAUAUGUAUGAUUUGCAAAUAUAUUUCUCACUUUGUGGUUUGCCUUUCCAUUUUUGAAAUAGGAUCUUUUGAAUACCAUCAGUUUUCAAUUUCGAUGAAGUCAAAUUCGCCAGUUUUUAUUUUGUGAAUCAGGCUUUCAGAAUCAUGUCUAAGAAAUUCUUGCCUAAGGACACACAUUGUUUAUCAGAUGUUGUCUUCGAAAAUGUGGAUCAUUUUAAUUUUUCUACUUUUGUCUCAGAUUCGUGUUUAUUUAAACUUGUAUAUGGUGUAAAGUAAGCAUCUAAGGUUUUUCGUUUUGGUUUGGUUUUUGUUUCGCAUAUAGCGAUCCAUUUGUUCUAACACCACUUGUGGUAAAGAUUAUUGUUUUCCUCUUGAAUUGCCUAGGCAUCUUUGUUAAAAAUCAAUUUACUGUAAAUGUGUGGAUUCUUUACUGGGUUCUUCAUCCUGUUUUAUUGAUCUACAUAUCUAUUAUUAUAUUGAUGUGUUGAUUACUGUACUUUUGUAUUAAAAUUUGAAAUUACACAAGUCCUCCAGCUUCAUGCUUCUUUUUCAAAAUGUGAGUUGGAAUCAUGACUAUUUGUUAUUAACAAACUCUUCUUUCAACAGCAUAAUAAUAUUUUUGAAAUGAAUAAAGCAGAUGAAUCAGUUCUGAUAAAAAUUAAGAUAUCCAAAAUGUUUUCAGAGGUUUUCACCAUAGUAAAAAAAAAACAUACUUGAUUUAAAUAACUAUUAUUCACCUAUCAUUUUCUCAAUGGCUACGUUUCAUAAUGUUAGGACUGAUUAACACCAAAAGCAAUAUCCAAUAUAAAAAAUCAAUGAUGUUUUUUGAAAAGAUUUUACCUAUUUAUUGAUAGCAUGUAACUUUACUAAGAAAAUGGGUAACAUGAACAAAAAUUUUAACUAUUUUUCAGCACUUAUCUGUUGGUCGUGAGAAUUUAGAAGCUAAAUCCUCAUAUUGCUGUUAGUGGAACAGUAAAUUGUUCCAAAAAAUGUUUGGAGAAUAAUUCAUAGAUUUCAAGGAUUUUAAGAUUACUUUUGUACUAUUUAUCAAAAACUGCUUAUUAUUUUCUGGUUUUUGUUUUUGCUUUUCCUGAAAGAGUACAAAUAUCAAUUGAAUUAAACUUUUCUGUAUAUUAUUUCGAAGUAUUAAAAAUAGUACCCAGUGGCAACUUUUUGUUCAUCGAGACACUAUGAAAAAUUUCCAAUAUUAUGCAAGAAUAAGGUUGUUUUCAUUAGGACUAUUCCUAUCUACUAGUUAAAUUGAAUCACCUUUAAAGCAUCAUGUACAGACUUAAAAAGCUUUGUCCUUAUUGACACUCAAAGAACCCAGGAAAUCUGAACAUUUGAUUUUCUACCACCUCUUUCUCUCAUGAAAAAACAUAAUAAAGAUUUUCUUGUUUUA